rnacentral:rRNA from 1 species
UGGGGAGUAUUGCACAAUGGGCGCAAGCCUGAUGCAGCGAUGCCGCGUGAGGGAAGACGGUCUUCGGAUUGUAAACCUCUGUCUUCAGGGACGAAGAGAUGACGGUACCUGAGGAGGAAGCUCCGGCUAACUACGUGCCAGCAGCCGCGGUAAUACGUAGGGAGCGAGCGUUGUCCGGAAUUACUGGGUGUAAAGGGAGUGUAGGCGGGUAAUCAAGUCCGUUGUGAAAUCUAUCGGCUCAACCGAUAGCUGCGGCGGAAACUGAAUAUCUUGAGUGAAGUAGAGGCAGGCGGAAUUCCUAGUGUAGCGGUGAAAUGCGUAGAUAUUAGGAGGAACACCAGUGGCGAAGGCGGCCUGCUGGGCUUUAACUGACGCUGAGGCUCGAAAGUGUGGGGAGCAAACAGGAUUAGAUACC